UACGGAGGGUGCAAGCGUUCUCCGGAUUCACUGGGUUUAAAGGGUGCGUAGGCGGCCAGCACAAGUCAGUUGUGAAAUCUCCGAGCUUAACUCGGAAAGGUCAACUGAUACUGUGCGGCUAGAGUGCGGAAGGGGCAACUGGAAUUCUUGGUGUAGCGGUGAAAUGCGUAGAUAUCAAGAGGAACACCUGCGGCGAAGGCAGCUCGCUGGGACGGUACUGACACUGAGGCGCGAAAGCGUGGGGAGCGAACAGG
rnacentral:rRNA from 1 species